GGUGAACCUGCGGAGGGAUCAUUACACAACAAAAUAUGAAGGCCUGGCUUCGCGGCCGGCUGAAAUAUUUUUUUCACCCAUGUCUUUUGCGCACUUGUUGUUUCCUGGGCGGGUUCGCCCGCCACCAGGACCAAACCAUAAACCUUUUUUUUAUGCAGUUGCAAUCAGCGUCAGUAAAAACAAUGUAAUUAUUACAACUUUCAACAACGGAUCUCUUGGUUCUGGCAUCGAUGAAGAACGCAGCGAAAUGCGAUACGUAGUGUGAAUUGCAGAAUUCAGUGAAUCAUCGAAUCUUUGAACGCACAUUGCGCCCUUUGGUAUUCCAAAGGGCAUGCCUGUUCGAGCGUCAUUUGUACCUUCAAGCUUUGCUUGGUGUUGGGCGUUUUUUGUCUCCCUCUUUCUGGGAGACUCGCCUUAAAACGAUUGGCAGCCGGCCUACUGGUUUCGGAGCGCAGCACAUAUUUUGCGCUUUGUAUCAGGAGAAAAGGACGGUAAUCCAUCAAGACUCUACAUUUUUAACUUUUGACCUCGGAUCAGGGUAGGAUACCCGCUGAACUUAAGCAUAUCAAUAAGCGGAGGAA
rnacentral:rRNA from 1 species